rnacentral:rRNA from 1 species
UACGGAGGGUGCAAGCGUUGUUCGGAAUUACUGGGCGUAAAGCGCGUGCAGGCGGCCAACUAAGUCCGGUGUGAAAGCCCGGGGCUCACCCCCGGAAGUGCGCUGGAAACUAAUUGGCUAGAGUACGGGAGAGGGAAGUGGAAUUCCUGGUGUAGCGGUGAAAUGCGUAGAUAUCAGGAGGAACACCGGCGGCGAAGGCGGCUUCCUGGACCGAUACUGACGCUGAGACGCGAAAGCGUGGGGAGCAAACAGG